GAGUGACCGCUGGCGGUAGGCCUAACACAUGCAAGUCGAACGGCAGCACAGUAAGAGCUUGCUCUUACGGGUGGCGAGUGGCGGACGGGUGAGGAAUACAUCGGAAUCUACUUUUUCGUGGGGGAUAACGUAGGGAAACUUACGCUAAUACCGCAUACGACCUACGGGUGAAAGCAGGGGAUCUUCGGACCUUGCGCGAUUGAAUGAGCCGAUGUCGGAUUAGCUAGUUGGCGGGGUAAAGGCCCACCAAGGCGACGAUCCGUAGCUGGUCUGAGAGGAUGAUCAGCCACACUGGAACUGAGACACGGUCCAGACUCCUACGGGAGGCAGCAGUGGGGAAUAUUGGACAAUGGGCGCAAGCCUGAUCCAGCCAUGCCGCGUGUGUGAAGAAGGCCUUCGGGUUGUAAAGCCCUUUUGGUGGGGAAGAAGAGCAGUAGGUUAAUACCCCGCUGUUCUGACGUUACCCACAGAAUAAGCACCGGCUAACUUCGUG
rnacentral:rRNA from 1 species